GAUUGAAGGUUACCAUGUUUACGUCCAUCAAGAAUUUGGAGACAAUUCCAUCCCCAUUUCACCAAUCUAGAAUUCCUUUCCAUAACCCAUUUCGUUUAAAGAAAACGUUCCUUAAAAUCUUUGUUAUAAUCGGUCAAAAUCCUAAACACCCCAUCUCCCACACGCAAACCUUUAUGUUUGGAAGUUUCGUCAUACCAAAAUUAUGAAUCACAAAGCACGUUUUAUGCAAAAACUAUAUUAUACGCAACCCUUGUUACUUUCUGCAAAUUACACAACUCGAAGAAACCUCUCUCUCUCGUUAUUGAAGGUCGCCGGAACUCGAAGAAGUCACCGGAGAUCGGAGAAUAAACCGGAAACCCGCAAGCUUUGUUCGGUAUACAUUCCUCCGAACCACCACCUCGUUCGGACAUCUUGCACCCUCGCCAGAACAAUCUGGACGACACUAGAGUUCUAUCGGUGUGAACCGAGCUCUCCGGGAUUAGCGUAACUCGUCGGAGUUACGUCAGAACUCAUUUAACCAUCGUCCGGAUAAUCGUUUCGUUCGUUCUCUUGGAUUUCCUAAUCCUACUCGCACGCUUAAUUUUACAAGGAAUCGCAAACGCAACCACUUGUAAUCUCAAGACUUCGUCAAAUCCACUCUCGGUUUUCGUGGAACCCUACGCAAAACUGUUGUUAGACGAAGUGACGAAGAAUCAAGUUUGGAUGGAUGUAGAAACCCACAUUUAUAAUAAACAAUAUUUGAAUCUUGGUUUAUAUUGUCACAAUUAGUGCUAUGAUGCUUUGAGCGAUUUGUUCGUCUCAUCCCGAUGUUUCCGGCAUAGGUCGGGGUGUGACAGGGAAUGAUUAGGAAUGUUAAGAUUCAGUUGGGAGAGUUUGAAUACCCGGUGGAUUUUCUGGUCCUAGACUGUGUUUCUACCAAAAUGGCAGCACAACAAAGGGUAAUCUUAGGUCGACCGUUUCUAUACACAGCAAAUGCUCAAAUCAAUUGAAGAGACGGGAUUAUUACCAUGACCGAAAAGAACCGUAAGUUGUCCUUUGAUGUCAAACUAGAGUGAUUAGUUAUGAGUCCAUUGAGGGGAAGGUGGUGAGUCUAGUGAUUGUAUGAAAAAAGUGUGUCAAAGAAUGAAAAUAAAUCACCCACAGAAUCAUGAAGAAAAGCAUACGGGAUCAAGUAGGAGUGUAUUUGAUUUCCCACCGAAUCGAAACGGGACAGAUGCAUUUUACUCAAUGGCACGAUGUAGUGAUGGAGAUUGCAUGAAUCAUUUCUUUGAGCCACCAUAAAUGGGGGUGGCACGGUCUGGCUGAAGACCCGAAAACUUAGCACUGCUCGGGAGGUAACCCGGGGUUUUUCACUGACCUUGUUAUUUCUUUAUUUUUCUAUGUUUCAGGCUAUGGCAACACUCAAGUGUGGGGAAGAUGUGCGGAUAGUUGUGUGAAGGUGGUGAUAGGAAAUCAGAUCAUUUACAACAUCUGUUGUGUCAAACUUCAUCAGGUCCGUGUACUAUUUCCUUAGACUUGUCAUGUUCUUUAGCCUUGAAAUAUUGGUAGUUAGUUUGUUUGCUUUUGUUUAAAAAGAAAAGAAGAAGUUUGGUGUAUUUUGAGCGAUCUUUCCCUUCAAAGCCAUACAUUGGGGACAAUGUAUCCCAAGUGUGGGGAUGGGGGAAAUUUUUGACACUUUUGAAAAAUUCUGAAAUCAAGCGAAAAAUUAUCUAAAUUUGAAAACUUAAAGUAUUGAAACCGCAUAACACACAGGCAACCCCAUAUACCCUUUUCUUGGUGAGCGUUUGAUCCACUUAUUUGAAUUGUUAGAAAUAUUUUCUUUGAUGAGAGUGGCAAUGGGUGGGGGUGCAUUAGAAUUUGUGCUUGAAUUCGGUUUGAGGCCUUAGCUUGAUAUGUAUGUGAAAAAGGAUAAGGGCAUUUAGGUAGCCUCGUCAUCAUGUGUGCGAGUGUGGGAUUUGGGGGGUUGGACCUCAUAAGUUAUAUAUAUGAGCUUGGUAGCGAGAGGGGCGAGGGGUUUGGACUUUAGUAGCCCAUGUGAGCUUAAAGCCUAUCGUUUGUUAACCCAUGCCUAGUUCCUAAAAAAUUCACCCGUAUUUGACCUGGUAUAGUAGUAUUAGCAUUUUAUAUUAGUAUGUUUGUUAUGUGAUGUUUUGAUUGGUUGAAAAAAAAAGAGAAAAAGCAAUGAAAAAGAAAAGAAAAAAUGUUGGGAUGUAUUGUAUAUAGUUGUUUAAGUUUGUUAGAUAAUAAUAAAAAGAUCGGGUCGAAUCAUUAGCUACUACAUAUAUAUUUCCAUUUCUAUCCAUAUGCCUAGCCACGUUCCAACCUUUAAAUCCCUUUGAUUCACGUGCGUGUUUUAGCAAAUUCUUUAGGCAAAGGACCGAUUUAAGUACAAGCCUAUUAUUGUGCAACCACCCAUUUGCUUUAAGUGUGUUCUAGCUCAUCCUUGCUAGUUAUUAUUUGUAGCCAAGAGUUGAGUCAUUGUGAGGGGUGUGUUAUGCGGAUUUUAGGAAAAAGUUAGUAAAAUGAGGAUAUUCGAUUGCUUAAUUUGUGUUUGAUCGCUUGAGGAAAUUAUGAGUUCUUUUUUACGAGUUGCUUAGGGGCAAGCAACGGUUAAGUGUGGGGACGUGACGGUUUGUCCAUAGGACGACCUUAAGCGUUAAAAAGUAUAAUUUAAUCUCGCAUUUAUCCAUGUAAUUGUCUUGAAUUAGAUAACUACGGUUAUUAUUGUUUCAGGUAUGUACGAGGCCUAAAGGGAGUGAAAAUGCAACUUUGGUGGAAGACGGUUGUCAGACCCCAACCGAUGGCGGAAACAUCGGAGUGAGACGAAAUAGAUUGCUCGAGACAUCAUAACGCUAAUAUUUGUGAAAAGUAUUUAAAUAAUAAGUUGUAGGAUCGUGUA